AUUGAACGCUGGCGGCAUGCCUUACACAUGCAAGUCGAACGGUAACAGGUCUUCGGAUGCUGACGAGUGGCGAACGGGUGAGUAAUACAUCGGAACGUGCCCGAGAGUGGGGGAUAACGAGGCGAAAGCUUUGCUAAUACCGCAUACGAUCUCAGGAUGAAAGAAGGGGACCGCAAGGCCUUGCGCUCACGGAGCGGCCGAUGGCAGAUUAUGCAGUUGGUGGGAUAAAAGCUUACCAAGCCGACGAUCUGUAGCUGGUCUGAGAGGACGACCAGCCACACUGGGACUGAGACACGGCCCAGACUCCUACAGGAGGCAGCAGUGGGGAAUUUUGGACAAUGGGCGCAAGCCUGAUCCAGCCAUGCCGCGUGCAGGAUGAAGGCCUUCGGGUUGUAAACUGCUUUUGUACGGAACGAAAAGACUCUGGUUAAUACCUGGGGUCCAUGACGGUACCGUAAGAAUAAGCACCGGCUAACUACGUGCCAGCCGCCGCCGUAAUAC
rnacentral:rRNA from 1 species